AUAUGUGAUGAUUUUAAACAUAGGAAUUGCCGUCUGAUCGAUGAAUGACGAUAUUUUUCUUCCUGAUG
rnacentral:snoRNA from 1 species